rnacentral:rRNA from 1 species
UACGUAGGGUGCAAGCGUUGUCCGGAAUUAUUGGGCGUAAAAGAGCUCGUAGGCGGUUUGUCGCGUCUGCUGUGAAAACUCGGGGCUUAACUCCGGGCCUGCAGUGGGUACGGGCAGACUAGAGUGCGGUAGGGGAGACUGGAAUUCCUGGUGUAGCGGGUGAAAAUGCGCAGAUAUCAGGAGGAACACCCGUAGCGAAAGGCGGCACUCUGGGCCGGAAACUGACGCUGAGGAGCGAAAAGCGUGGGUAGCAAACAGG